UGGCGAACGGGUGAGUAACACGUGGGUAACCUGCCCAUCAGAAGGGGAUAACACUUGGAAACAGGUGCUAAUAACCGUAUAACACUAUUUUCCGCAUGGAAGAAAGUUGAAAGGCGCUUUUGCGUCACUGAUGGAUGGACCCGCGGUGCAUUAGCUAGUUGGUGAGGUAACGGCUCACCAAGGCAACGAUGCAUAGCCGACCUGAGAGGGUGAUCGGCCACACUGGGACUGAGACACGGCCCAGACUCCUACGGGAGGCAGCAGUAGGGAAUCUUCGGCAAUGGACGAAAAGUCUGACCGAGCAAACGCCCGCGUGAGUGAAGAAGGUUUUCGGGAUCGUAAAACUCUG
rnacentral:rRNA from 1 species